GUGGUAGAUUCAGUUGUAGAGCUGGUGGUUUUAGGAGUUGUCGGUGAAGUAGGAGCCGUCGGAGAGGUACGAGUCGUUGGAGAAGAAGGACUCGUUGGCGAUGUAGGAAUCGUUGGUGAGGUAGGAGUCGUCAUUGAAGUAGAAGUCGUCGAUGAAGCAGUGGUAGACUCAGUUGUAGAGCUGAUGGUUUCAGGAGUUGUCGAUGAAACGGUGUUAGAUAGAGUUGUAGAGCUGGUGGUAGCAGGAGUCGUGGAUGAUAA